GUGCCAGCAGCCGCGGUAAUACGUAGGUGGCUAGCGUUGUCCGGAAUUACUGGGCGUAAAGGGCGUGUAGGCGGGGUGGCAAGUCAGAUGUGAAAUUCCGGGGCUCAACUCCGGCGCUGCAUCUGAAACUGCUGCUCUUGAGUGCUGGAGAGGAAAGCGGAAUUCCCAGUGUAGCGGUGAAAUGCGUAGAGAUUGGGAGGAACACCAGUGGCGAAGGCGGCUUUCUGGACAGCAACUGACGCUGAGGCGCGAAAGCGUGGGGAGCAAACAGGAUUAGAUACCCUGGUAGUCCACGCCGUAAACGAUGGAUACUAGGUGUAGGAGGUAUCGACCCCUUCUGUGCCGUAGUUAACACAAUAAGUAUCCCGCCUGGGGAGUACGGCCGCAAGGCUGAAACUCAAAGGAAUUGACGG
rnacentral:rRNA from 1 species